rnacentral:rRNA from 1 species
GACGAACGCUGGCGGCGUGCUUAACACAUGCAAGUCGUACGGUAAGGCCCUUUCGGGGGUACACGAGUGGCGAACGGGUGUGUAACACGUGCGUAACCUGCCCACAACUUUGGGAUAACGAUAGGAAACUGGUGCUAAUACUGGAUAUGUGUUCCUGCUGCAUGGUGGGGGUUGGAAAGCUCCUGAGGGUGUGGCUGGAUUCGCGGGCUAUCAGCUUGGUGGUGGGGUAGUGGCCUACCAAGGCGGCGACGGGUAGCCGUCCUGAGAGGGUAACCGGCGACAUUGAGACUGAGAAAAGGCCCAGACUCCUACGGGAGGCAGCAGUGGGGAAUAUUGCACGAUUGGCGCAAGCCUGAUGCGGCAACGCCUCGUGCGUGAUGACGGCCUUCGAGUUGAAAACCGCUUUCAGCAGGGACGGUGCUUUUUGUGACGGUACCUGCAGAAGAAGCACCGGCUAACUACGUG